CAAGUGUAGGCCAGGGAGCUCUGGCUGCAGGAUGAACUGCAAAGGGGCCAUGGAGCCUGCUUCCAAGGUCGUGACACCUAGUCCAGUGUAACAGCAGACUGUCAUAUAGGAUGAUGUGAACUUCUCAUAUUCUCCAUCUCCAGGAUGUGUUUGUCAGCAGGUCAUGCUCUCCUUGGGUCAUGUGUAUAAUCAGGAGCAAGAGAUGGAGACAAGUGUUUUCUCCAUGUGCUGCAUCCAUCCAAGAUCAGCAAAACCACUCACAGAUUGUCCUUCUCGUCAGAUCCCAUUGAAGGUGAAUGUAGAAAAGCUGAUUGGCAGUGUUGGGCUCUGGAUAAAUGGAGCUGCUCACCUUGGGAUCGUGAGUUCAGAGGAAGGGCCACAGGAUACCCUGUGAGGGAAACACCGGCCAAAUGUGCCAUCCAGGUGGCCUGCAAGCCUUAAAUUGAGCAUUCUGGUUCAUGCUAAAAUAAAUGCAAUAAACCA